UGGCGGCGUGCUUAACACAUGCAAGUCGAACGGUGAAGCCCUUCGGGGUGGAUCAGUGGCGAACGGGUGAGUAACACGUGGGCAAUCUGCCCUGCACUCUGGGACAAGCCCUGGAAACGGGGUCUAAUACCGGAUAUGACCUUCCUCCGCAUGGGGGUUGGUGUAAAGCUCCGGCGGUGCAGGAUGAGCCCGCGGCCUAUCAGCUUGUUGGUGGGGUAAUGGCCUACCAAGGCGACGACGGGUAGCCGGCCUGAGAGGGCGACCGGCCACACUGGGACUGAGACACGGCCCAGACUCCUACGGGAGGCAGCAGUGGGGAAUAUUGCACAAUGGGCGAAAGCCUGAUGCAGCGACGCCGCGUGAGGGAUGACGGCCUUCGGGUUGUAAACCUCUUUCAGCAGGGAAGAAGCGCAAGUGACGGUACCUGCAGAAGAAGCACCGGCUAACUACGUGCCAGCAGCCGCGGUAAUACGUAGGGUGCGAGCGUUGUCCGGAAUUAUUGGGCGUAAAGAGCUCGUAGGCGGCCUGUCGCGUCGGAUGUGAAAGCCCGGGGCUUAACCCCGGGUCUGCAUUCGAUACGGGCAGGCUAGAGUGUGGUAGGGGAGAUCGGAAUUCCUGGUGUAGCGGUGAAAUGCGCAGAUAUCAGGAGGAACACCGGUGGCGAAGGCGGAUCUCUGGGCCAUUACUGACGCUGAGGAGCGAAAGCGUGGGGAGCGAACAGGAUUAGAUACCCUGGUAGUCCACGCCGUAAACGUUGGGAACUAGGUGUUGGCGACAUUCCACGUCGUCGGUGCCGCAGCUAACGCA
rnacentral:rRNA from 1 species